AGCCUUAAGAUUAUAUUUAAGGUAAUGCCUGCCCAGUGCUAAAGUGUUAACGGCCGCAGUACCUUGACUGUGCUAAGGUAGCAUAAUCAGUUGGCUUUUAAAUGGAGUCGGGAAUGAAUGGAUUUAUAGGGUAAAGCUGUCUCUUUUAUAUUUUAUUGAAUUUAAUUAUUAGGUGAAAAUACCUAAAAUUAAGAAAAAAGACGAGAAGACCCUAGGAGUUUUUACUAAUGGUCAAUUAAAGUUGGCUUCUGGUUUUUGUUGGGGCGACAUAGGAACAAACAACUUCCUUAUUUUAUAGGCCGACUACGUAUGAAUAAUAAAACUACCCUAGGGAUAACAGCGUAAUUCUUUAUGGAGCUUGCGACCUCGAUGUUGGACUAGGAAUUUGAUUGGCUAGCCGCCACUUUAUAUUGUUCUGUUCGAACUUAAUUUCC
rnacentral:rRNA from 1 species